CCUACGGGAGGCAGCAGUGAGGAAUAUUGGUCAAUGGACGCAAGUCUGAACCAGCCAUGCCGCGUGCAGGAAGACGGCUCUAUGAGUUGUAAACUGCUUUUGUACGAGGGUAAACGCAGAUACGCGUAUCUGUCUGAAAGUAUCGUACGAAUAAGGAUCGGCUAACUCCGUGCCAGCAGCCGCGGUAAUACGGAGGAUUCAAGCGUUAUCCGGAUUUAUUGGGUUUAAAGGGUGCGUAGGCGGUCGGAUAAGUUAGAGGUGAAAUCCCGAGGCUCAACUUCGGAAUUGCCUCUGAUACUGGUAGGCUAGAGAGUAGUUGCGGUAGGUGGAAUGUAUGGUGUAGCGGUGAAAUGCUUAGAGAUCAGACAGAACACCGAUGGCGAAGGCAGCUUACCAAGCUACUUCUGACGUUGAGGUACGAAAGCGUGGGGAGCAAACAGGAUUAGAUACCCUAGUAGUC
rnacentral:rRNA from 1 species